rnacentral:lncRNA from 1 species
AUAAAUUGUGUUCUCAAUAAAUAUAUCUUGAAUGAAUGAAUGAGUUUACCAACCAGCAAGUAUGUCUAGGAGUACUUGUUGUAUAAAUAUUUUAAUCAUAGUUUUCUCUAAGCCUUCUCUAGGAAGAUUAGUUUUAAUAUGUUAUAAACAUAGCAAUAUGAAUCCAACUAAUACUAAAACUACAGGUGUUUUAAUACAGGUGUGACAUACUUUUUUUCUGUCAGUAGAAAAGAGAGUAUCAGACCUUGAACUUGCAUCCAAUUGUCUGAAAGCACCAAAAACAGAAGCCCCUCCCCAAAGCACAAACUUUCCCUGAUGUUUACUUGUAGGAGAGUUUGGCAGCCAAGUUCCUGGAUGUUACAAAUUAAAUACUGCUCAUAGCCCUGCUUCCAACUGCCUUGUUGGCAAAAAUUUUGAAACUCUAGAAGGACCAUGCUCAGAAGCUAGACCUAGGGGGAAUGGUAAGCAAUGGAAACUCCUAAAUCCAAGAGAGGAACAGUGACUGCAUUCACCCACUUAAGAAAUCACUUAUCUUUAACAAUAGUUGUUUUUGUACUUUGGGGGGUUUGUGGCUAUUCCCUAAGAUCCUUUUUCCACUGACUUUUACAAGCAAUUUAGGGCCUCUUUUUCAACAGAUGUAAGUAAAUCAGCCUAUGAUAUUUCAACAUAAACUAUGUCAAAACGUUUCACAUUACUCUUUAAUUGUUUAUUUAUUUUUCCCAUGCUUUGAAAUUAUAAAAAAUUUGAGGGUGAUUUUAGGCUACACAUAAAAUGUGAUAGUCAAUUUGUUAGAGAAUAUAAAAUUACAGCUAGAUAGGAGGAAUAAGUUAUAGGGUUCUACAUCACUUUAGGAAGACUACAAUUAACAAUAAUAUAUAGUUUUAAAUAGCUAGAAGGAGAAUAUUGAACAUUCCCACACGAAGAAACGAUAGAUGUUUGAGAUGAUGGAUAUGCUAAUUACCCUGAUCUGAUCACUAUAUAUUAUAUGUAUCUAAAUAUCACUAUAUGCUUGUAAAUAUGUACAAUUAUUAUUUGUCAGUUAAAAUAAUCAGAACCAGAAAAAUUAAACUGUACACACACACACACAAAACCAAUCUGACAAACACUCAAGUAAUACAGUCUGACAUAAUUGGCUACAGGUAGGAAAUAAAUUUUGCUUUGAGUUUCCUGGAAAACAUAGUUCAAAAGAAAAGUCAGUUACAUAGUCUUCAUUGUAUAAAAGAAAAAAACUUGAGUUUCUCAGGCCAAGAAAAAAUUUCAUAGCACUAAGUUCUGAAAGAAAUUACUCAGUAUACUUGUGUAGGGAUUUUUUAAUGACAUGGUACACAAUGACCUCAAUAUCCACACAGCAUACAUAGAUAUUGAUUUUUUAAAGCUGCUUCUUGUGUUCUUCCAAACAGGUCAAUUUCAUGAUACUAAAAAACAGCCCAGAGACAUCAGUCUGCAUUGAAUUAAAAUAGUGCUCAAGGAUGUCACAUUCUUAGAAUGAACUCUGAAUAAAACCUACAUUAAAAAUCAGAAUGCAUGGAUUGCUUCACCUUUGAUUAUUCACCUGUUAAUAGAUGCAGAUAUGAAGUAUCACUGAUCGAAGGAGGUUCCAGUCAAAUACGUGAAGAUGAAGCAAAUGGACGUUGGCAAUCCUGGUUCUCAGACCUUCAGACUUGGACUGGGACUUACACCAUUGGCUCCUCUGAUUCUCAGGCCUUCAAAUUUGCACUGGAACCACACCCAACACCACUGGCUUUCCUAGGCUUCCAGCUGGCAGACAGCAGAUCAUGGGACAGCCUCCAUAAUCUAGUGACCGAAUUCUUCAU